GAGUUUAUAGCGCUGUAGACUCUUAGCCAAUCGGAAGGCCGUGUUGUCUACAGUCUACAGUUAGCAUUGCACGUAUCCUAAACCCAUAUCUGCGAAUUCCCCAAAUGUGGGAAUCUCAACUGCAUAAUUUCUGGUAGUGGGGGACUGCGUUCGCGCUCUCCCCUG
rnacentral:snRNA from 1 species